UUCAGGUUACCUCCGAGUAGUUCUGCAUAUCACUGUGGAGUAAAUGUUUAUAGUUAGCACUAGUACAUCAACUUAACAGCUUUGUGCAAGUGAAGAAAACUAAAUCCAAACUCAGAAACUGCUGUGAUAGCUUGUGUGGAGGAACAAGACACCAUGAAUCAUUUCAUUCAGCUCUGAAGGUACACGCAAUAAUACAGACUGUAUGUGAAGAGAUGAAAAUGCAAGAACAUAUACUGAUUUCUAUCUUUAACUUAUCAAAAUGUGACAUCCGAAGGUCAUUGCCUAUUUUUCUGUGCCUAUAUAUACGGAGAGUGUCCUAAUGUAAUUUGCCACCCCAUGCUAUACUUCCAUAGUGAAAGGCAUAAUCAAAUCUGUUGUUUGCUCAUUAAAUUUUCUGUUGUUUGUAUUAUUAGUAGCAUAGGUGAAAACAUAUCUAGACAUCUAGAAAAGGAGAGAUACUUUAGGAUGUACAGGAAGGUCUGAGUGUGCUGUGGCCCUAGAAAAUAAUUAAGGUUCAUCAAGGCCAUCAAGGUUCAUUCACAUAAUAACAUUUUUUACUAAAUAUGGCAAAUUGAGCAGUUAAUAUUUGUAUUGUUUCUUUUUAAAUCUGACAAAUUACUGCAGA